GGACAUUCACUUAUGUACUGUGCAUAAAAACACCCUUAUGCAUAUUAACUUUUGCCCCUCUCACGAUACCUACUUCAUUCUUAUCCCUUUCAAUUCAAUUUUCCUUUUCAGUGAAACUAAUCACCCUGUCUGUCGCUGUGUCACUCAGUCGCUGCCGUUGUGUCUUUCGCUCCUAGUCGGCAGUCGCUGACUCGCUGUUUUCUCUUCUCGCCACUGGCUCACAGUGGCAGUGUCUCCUUGCUUCCAUUUCCCCCUUUUCAGUUUGAAGAUUGGAGAUUGUUGAUUGAAACAUUUCGCUGUAAUUAAUUAUAGACUGUAAUUUUAUAUUUUGCAAUUUGAAGGAUAGUAAGCUUAUGCAAUUUCAUGUUCUGAAUACAGAGAAAAAAAUUCAUCUUCUCUAAAGAAAAGUAGAGUCAAGAAUAAAAGGAUUAAUGGUGGAAAAGAAAAUACCAACAAACAACAAAGAUCUAUU
rnacentral:lncRNA from 1 species